UAAUCUCUUUAUUUUUCUUUUCAUUUUGCCCCUUGUCUUUCACUCUCUUCUCUCUCCGUCUCCUCUCUCUACCAUCCCCCACGCGACUGCCCCACCCCCUCCUUAGUCGGUCAACGCUGCAGGCACCGCCGUUUCCGACCAGCAAGCGUCGCCACCAGACGCCGCUGUUGUUUCCGACCAGCAAUCGUCGCCACCAGACGCCGCCAGCUCAGAUUGGAGUAUCAAUUGCAUCGAACUUUGAAUGCAAGUUUAACGCUGUUGUUAGAAGGGGCUGCAUUGCAGCUAUUUUCAGUUAGAAUUCUUCUUCCUCGAGAAAUUUCUUAGAGUUUGUGAAAGAUGGGAAAGGAUGACAGAUAAGAAAUUUCUAAUAGUUUCAGUUGUAAAUCUGCUAUUCUUAUGUAGUUCUAUAAGAAUGGUCUAUUUUGUGUUUAUUAUUCAGCUAUAUUCCGUUGGGUGUUAUAAAGUAAAGUGUUAUUCUUGUGCAGAUGAACUCUGUUCAAAAUUGAGGCAUUUCCUUGGCUUAUAGAUCCAUGACCAUGUAUUAUUUGUCUACAUGAACCAAUAGCAGCAGUAGAUUACAAAUGCUGACAAGGGUAGGAAAAUAUCAUUAAGAAGCACCAGCAAAAAAGAUACCUGUGAAGAACAAGGACAAAUUUCUUGGCUUCAUUAUCGACUUCUCCAUCAACGGAUACAUUUGGGAGUCUUGAUUUAACUAGGCAAAGGCUUCAACGUCCGUGGGGAGUCAGGGAAAGAAUGAGCUGCGAGGUACCCAAGCAGAGACAAUCAGGUAUGAUCAUAAGACAAGUUUGGUGGAGCAAGAAAGUAGAAAAGAUGAGGCUGAACUGAGACAGGUGAUGAAUGGUGCAGAGGCAAAGGCAACCUCUUCGGGUUUGUAUAGUAGGAAUGAGGAUAUUGGGGCUAAAGGAGCAAGUGUGCAAUUGAAACCCGGCGGCUCUAGUGGGGUGAAGUUAAAUGUAGAUAGAGGUGACACAAGUGUAAAUGUUGCGCCACCUACUUCUUCACAUAAACUUAAAAUUAGGAUUAAAAACCGAACGCUUGAAAAAUCAUGAUUUGUGUAGUAAAUUUCCUCGUAGAAAUAGGUAAUUGUUUUGUAUUUCUUCUAUUCAAGUGUAGCUUUUAGUGGCAGAGCCAUCAUGUAAGAAAUUUGCUUGUAGGGAGUCAUGAGUACAUGUACUAAUAAAAAGGUGUUUACUCCUCACUUCGAAUUAGAAGUACUUUUAAUUUUAAGA